rnacentral:tRNA from 1 species
GGGUGCAUAGCUCAGCGGUAGAGCACUCGCCUUACAAGCGAGGGGUCACUGGUUCGAACCCAGUUGCGCCCA